GACGAACGCUGGCGGCGUGCCUAAUACAUGCAAGUUGAGCGCUGAAGGUUGGUACUUGUACCGACUGGAUGAGCAGCGAACGGGUGAGUAACGCGUGGGGAAUCUGCCUUUGAGCGGGGGACAACAUUUGGAAACGAAUGCUAAUACCGCAUAAAAACUUUAAACACAAGUUUUAAGUUUAAAAGAUGCAAUUGCAUCACUCAAAGAUGAUCCCGCGUUGUAUUAGCUAGUUGGUGAGGCAAAGGCUCACCAAGGCGAUGAUACAUAGCCGACCGGAGAGGGUGAUCGGCCACAUUGGGACUGAGACACGGCCCAAACUCCGACGGGAGGCAGCAGUAGGGAAUCUUCGGCAAUGGACGAAAGUCUGACCGAGCAACGCCGCGUGAGUGAAGAAGGUUUUCGGAUCGUAAAACUCUGUUGGUAGAGAAGAACGUUGGUGAGAGUGGAAAGCUCAUCAAGUGACGGUAACUACCCAGAAAGGGACGGCUAACUACGUUCCAGCCGCCGCGGUAA
rnacentral:rRNA from 1 species